GCUGAUGUAGCAUAGCCCGGCAAUGCAGAAGACCUAAACUCUUUAACCGGGAGUUCAAACCUCCCCAUCAACU
rnacentral:tRNA from 1 species